rnacentral:siRNA from 1 species
CCGAUCCGUACAUACUCAACCCG